GACGUAGGGGGCGAGCGUUGUCCGGAAUUACUGGGCGUAAAGAGCACGUAGGCGGAGACUUAAGUCAGAUGUGAAAGACCGGGGCUCAACCCCGGGGUUGCAUUUGAAACUGGGUCCCUUGAGGGCAGGAGAGGACAGUAGAAUUCCUGGUGUAGCGGUGAAAUGCGUAGAAAUCAGGAGGAAUACCAGUGGCGAAGGCGACUGUCUGGACUGUCCCUGACGCUGAGGUGCGAAAGCGUGGGUAGCAAAC
rnacentral:rRNA from 1 species